rnacentral:rRNA from 1 species
AGGAUGAACGCUGGCGGCGUGCCUAAAACAUGCAAGUCAUACGGGCUACCUUCGGGUAGCCAGUGGCAAACGGGUGAGUAACACGUGGGAACACGCCUUCGAGUGGGGAAUAACGCUGAGAAAUCAGUGCUAAUACCGCAUAUGGUCGAGAGACUAAAGCAGCAAUGCGCUCGGAGAGUGGCCCGCGGUCGAUUAGCUAGUUGGUGGGGUAAUGGCCUACCAAGGCGGCGAUCGAUAGCUGGU